GAAUGCCGGUAUGAGUAGCGCAAGAUAAGUGAGAAUCUUAUCCACCGUAAGACUAAGGUUUCCAGGGGAAGGCUCGUCCGCCCUGGGUUAGUCGGGACCUAAGGCGAGGCCGAAAGGCGUAGUCGAUGGACAACUGGUUGAUAUUCCAGUACUAGAUAUGAUCGUGAUGGAGGGACGCAGUAGGCUAAGAGAUGCCAGUUAAUGGAUUCUGGUCUAAGCAGUGAGGUGUGAGAUGUGUCAAAUGCAUUUCUCUUUAACAUUGAGCUGUGAUGGGGAAGCAACUACGGUUGCGAACUCUCUGAUGUCACACUGCCAAGAAAAGCUUCUAGCGUAAAGUCAUAUCUACCCGUACCGCAAACCGACACAGG
rnacentral:rRNA from 1 species